UGCUUGCACCGGGGAUUAGUGGCGAACGGGUGAGUAACACGUGAGUAACCUGCCCUUAACUCUGGGAUAAGCCUGGGAAACUGGGUCUAAUACCGGAUAUGACUCCUCAUCGCAUGGUGGGGGGUGGAAAGCUUUAUUGUGGUUUUGGAUGGACUCGCGGCCUAUCAGCUUGUUGGUGAGGUAAUGGCUUACCAAGGCGACGACGGGUAGCCGGCCUGAGAGGGUGACCGGCCACACUGGGACUGAGACACGGCCCAGACUCCUACGGGAGGCAGCAGUGGGGAAUAUUGCACAAUGGGCGCAAGCCUGAUGCAGCGACGCCGCGUGAGGGAUGACGGCCUUCGGGUUGUAAACCUCUUUCAGUAGGGAAGAAGCGAAAGUGACGGUACCUGCAGAAGAAGCGCCGGCUAACUACGUGCCAGCAGCCGCGGUAAUACGUAGGGCGCAAGCGUUAUCCGGAAUUAUUGGGCGUAAGAGCUCGUAGGCGGUUUGUCGCGUCUGCCGUGAAAGUCCGGGCUCACUCCGGAUCUGCGGUGGGUACGGGCAGACUAGAGUGAUGUAGGGAGACUGGAAUUCCUGGUGUACGGUGAAUGCGCAGAUUUAGG
rnacentral:rRNA from 1 species